rnacentral:rRNA from 1 species
AUUGAACGCUGGCGGCAUGCCUUACACAUGCAAGUCGAACGGCAGCACGGGUGCUUGCACCUGGUGGCGAGUGGCGAACGGGUGAGUAAUACAUCGGAACAUGUCCUGUAGUGGGGGAUAGCCCGGCGAAAGCCGGAUUAAUACCGCAUACGAUCUACGGAUGAAAGCGGGGGACCUUCGGGCCUCGCGCUAUAGGGUUGGCCGAUGGCGGAUUAGCUAGUUGGUGGGGUAAAGGCCUAGCAAGGCGACGAUCAGUAGCUGGUCUGAGAGGACGACCAGCCACACUGGAACUGAGACACGGACCAGACUCCUACGGGAGGCAGCAGUGGGGAAUUUUGGACAAUGGGCGAAAGCCUGAUCCAGCAAUGCCGCGUGUGUGAAGAAGGCCUUCGGGUUGUAAAGCACUUUUGUCGGGAAAGAAAUCCUUGGCCCUAAUACGGUGCGGGGAUGACGGUACCGAAAGAAUAAGCACCGGCUAACUACGUG